UCUAUAAACCAAUGAAAGAAGGGGAAACCUCUCUAUCUUGCUGAAACCAAGACAAAGCGAAUCGGACGAUCAGAGAUCCCCUUUUGUCGUUUUUAAAGCUUAAAGAAUCCGAAAUGAGCGAGCUUCAGAAACCCAAAUCCAAAAGAGAAGAAGAGGAAGAAGAAGCUAAUAAUAACGUCGGUUGCAGAGAAGAGCAGGAACAAGCCCUCGUCGCUUUAGUAGAGCACCGUUCAGCUGAGAUAGAUCGUCUCAAGCAUCACAUAUCUAACUACCAAACCAAGCUUAUUGAAGCACAGAGAAGUUUGAGAGAUUCAAAAGCCAAGUUAUCUAACCUUCGUGGCCAUGAUGAAUCUGCAAGAAACGUUACUCCUUCUAGGAAAGACUCUUAUCCAUCUCCGUCACCUAGCAAGAUUCUUAAACCCUCUGUUCCUACAAGUAGUAUCUCCAAGUCCAAGACCAACACUGUUGUUGUGAAGCAAAAGCCUGAGACUUCUUCUUCUCGUGACGGUUUCUCCAACUCCAAGACCAAAACUGUUGUUGUGAAACAAAAGCCUGAGACUUCUUCUUCUCGUGACUGUCCUAAUCUUAAAGCUAGCAGAGAUCGGGAUAAAGGGACGAAAAGGAAGUUCGAGCACAAGGAGCAUAAAGAGUUGAUUAGGUUUAUAGCUAGAAACUCUUCACCUACUACAAUCAAGUGUCAUUCUAGUAACCAAAUCUCCAGUCAGCAUAAGAGGAAGUUAAGAAGCUUGAUUCUCUGUCCUGUAAAUGAGCAGCUUUUUGCAACUAGUUCUCUGGAUGGCAUGGUCAGCUUAUGGCAACUGCAACCUGGAAGGUUGUCUGCAUCAUUGCUUAGUACAACAGACUGUUUAUCUCAAAAACAAAGAAGAUGGGGAGAAGAUAUGGCAUGGCACCCAUCCGGGCACGCCCUUUUCUCUGUAUACACUGCAGACGAUGGUGAUUCCCAGAUAUCCAUCCUAAAUCUGAACAAGACACGCGGGGUUACUUUCCUGGAGAAUAAACCACACGUGAAAGGGAUAAUCAACAGCAUAAAGUUCAUGCCAUGGGAAAACACAUGCUUUGUAACGGGAGGAAGCGAUCACGCUGUCGUUCUAUGGAACGAGAGUGAUGAAGAAAACAAAUGGACGUCGAAAACUCUACACAGGAAUCUACAUUCAGCUGCUGUGAUGGGAGUCGAUGGGAUGAGGAACAAGAACGUCGUUUUGUCGGUUGGAGCAGACAAGAGAAUAUACGGGUUCGAUGUUCAGGUUGGUAGAGCAGACUACAAGCAUCAGAUAGAUUAUAAAUGCAUGAGCGUUCUCUCCAAUCCUUGUGACUUCAAUCUCUUUAUGGUUCAAUCCGGGGAACCGGAGAAACAGCUUCGACUGUUUGAUAUCAGAUUAAGGAGAACCGAACUCCAUUCAUUUGGUUGGAAGCAAGACAGCAGUGAAUCACAAUCAGCUUUGAUAAACCAGUCUUGGUCUCCUGAUGGUUUACACAUCACCUCUGGUUCAGCUGACCCGGUUAUCCAUGUUUUUGACAUCAGGUACAAUGCUCGUAAACCGACGCAGUCAAUAAAAGCUCAUCAGAAGAGAGUGUUUAAAGCGGAAUGGCAUUACUCUCAGCCACUUCUUAUCUCCAUAUCUUCUGAUCUCAACAUUGGUCUGCACAAGAUCUCAUGACCACUCUCAUAUGUCUCUCUGUUUCUAAGGAUCGUAAGUUCUUGGGAAUCAUGAAAAGCUUCAUCAAAUUCCAAAUGUGUUCUUUCAAGUACAUGGUUACAUCUUUAAGAUUUUAGUGUUGAUGGAUGUGUCUGAAGAAGAGAAAGAGUAGAAAUUGAAUUACCACAGCGUGAAGCUUGCGUUGGCGUAUGGGAUCUUGAAGAGUAGUCAUCAUGGAUCAGAAGUUAGAGAUUCAGAAGAAUAUAUAAGUAUGUUUAGUGAUUGCCAAAGCUGGAUCAACUCAGUGUCCAACUUGUUGAAUAGAGUGAUUAUAAUGUGGGAUCGGAUACGGUUUCGUAGGUGUAAAUGGUUAAAAGAAAGAACAAUGCUUUACAAACCAGCGACCUAAAGAUCAUCUGUUGAGAACAA